GACGAACGCUGGCGGCGUGCUUAACACAUGCAAGUCGAACGGAAAGGCCCUGCUUUUGUGGGGUGCUCGAGUGGCGAACGGGUGAGUAACACGUGAGUAACCUGCCCUUGACUUUGGGAUAACUUCAGGAAACUGGGGCUAAUACCGGAUAGGAGCUCCUGCUGCAUGGUGGGGGUUGGAAAGUUUCGGCGGUUGGGGAUGGACUCGCGGCUUAUCAGCUUGUUGUUGGGGUAGUGGCUUACCAAGGCUUUGACGGGUAGCAGGCCUGAGAGGGUGACCAGCCACAUUGGGACUGAGAUACGGCGCAGACUCCUACGGGAGGCAGCAGUGGGGAAUAUUGCACAAUGGGCGGAAGACUGAUGCAGCAACGCCGCGUGCGGGAUGACGGCCUUCGGGUUGUGAACAGCUUUCGCCUGUGACGAAGCGUGAGUGACGGUAAUGGGUAAAGAAGCACCGGCUAACUACGUG
rnacentral:rRNA from 1 species